rnacentral:rRNA from 1 species
GACGAACGCUGGCGGCGUGCCUAAUACAUGCAAGUCGAACGCAGUGGGGACGGGUGAGUAACAAGUGGGUAACCUCCCAUCAGAGGGGAUAACACUUGGAAACAGGUGCUAAACCGAUAUUGGAGGAUGGAGCCGGGGUGCAUUAGUGAGGUGGUGAGGAAACGGCUCACCAAGGCCACGAGGCAUAGCCGCCCUGAGAGGGUGAUCGGCCACACUGGGACUGAGACACGGCCCAGACUCCUACGGGAGGCAGCAGUAGGGAAUAUUCGGCAAUGGACGAAAGUCUGACCGAGCCACGCCGCGUGAGUGAAGAAGGUUUUCGGGUCGUAAAACUCUGUUUUUAGAGAAGCGUUAUCUAACCAGAAAGCCACGGCUAACUACGUGCCAGCAGCCGCGGUAAUUC